rnacentral:rRNA from 1 species
UACGGUUAGCCGGCCUGAGAGGGUGAUCGGCCACACUGGGACUGAGACACUGCCCAGACUCCUACGGGAGGCUGCAGUCGAGGAUCUUUUGCAAUGCACGAAAGUGUGACAAAGCGACGCUGCGUGGAGGAUGAAGGCUUUCGGGUCGUAAACUCCUGUCAUUCGGGAAAAAUAAAUCGGGUAUUAAUACUACCUGGAAUUGAUGGUACCGAAAGAGGAAGCCACGGCUAACUCUGUGCCGGCAGCCGCGGUAAUACAGAGGUGGCGAGCGUUGUUCGGAUUUACUGGGCGUAAAGGGUGCGUAGGUGGUUUUGUAUGUCGAAUGUGAAAGCCCAUCGCUUAACGAUGGAAGGUCAUUCGAAACUGCAGGACUAGAGUACAGGAGAGGAGAGCGGAAUUCUUGGAGUAGCGGUGAAAUGCGUUGAUAUCAAGAAGAACACCGGUUGCGAAGGCGGCUCUCUGGAAUGAUACUGACGCUGAGGCACGAAAGCUGGGGGAGCAAACAGGAUUAGAUACCCUGGUAGUCCCAGCUGUAAACGGUGUCAACUUGGUGUCGGCGGUAUAUUGACCCCGCCGGUGCCGGAGCUAACGCGUUAAGUUGACCGCCUGGGGAGUACGGCCGCAAGGCUAAAACUCAAAGAAAUUGACGGGGGCCCGCACAAGCGGAGGAGCAUGUGGCUUAAUUCGAUGCAACGCGAAGAACCUUACCAGGGCUUGACAUGUAACUGCUAAUCCUAUGAAAGUAGGACUCUUUCGAAGGUGUUACACAGGUGCUGCAUGGCUGUCGUCAGUUCGUGCCGUGAGGUGUUGGGUUAAGUCCCGCAACGAACGCAACCCCUUUGUUUAGUUGCUACUGGAUUUAUUCAGGCACUCUAGACAUACUGCCCGUACAAAGCGGGAGGAAGGUGGGGACGACGUCAAGUCAGUAUGGCCCUUACGCCCUGGGCUGCACACGUGCUACAAUGGUCGGUACAGAAGGAAGCAAUAUCGCGAGGUGGAGCAAAUCCUGAAAACCGGCCCCAGUUCAGAUUGGAGUCUGCAACUCGACUCCAUGAAGUCGGAUUCGCUAGUAAUGCCGUAUCAGCUACGACGGCGUGAAUACGUUCCCGGGCCUUGUACACACCGCCCGUCACAUCAUGAAAGCCGUCUGCACCCGAAGUCGCUGAGCCAACCCGCAAGGGAGGCAGGUGCCGAAGGUGUGGGUGGUGAUUGG